rnacentral:lncRNA from 1 species
GGGUGAAAUGCAUAAGUAAAACAUCAUCUAAUCAUCAUAAUUUAUAGCACAAUGCAUGCUAAAUGUAAAUGACUCACAUAAGUUGGAAUAUCUGAAAUACUAAAAUAUGAAAUCAUGAAUAGCAAAACAUACUUUAUAAAUCUAGUGCGUCAUAACAUUUAGUUCUAAAAGCUGCACUAAUGUUCUGUUUGGAAAUCAUGUUGUCUAAGUGUAAAAGGACUCACUUCUAUAUCUGAAAUUUGAAAGCUAAAAUCUGUAGCUAAUAUCGUUCUGUAAAGCAUAAUCUGAAUA